CCAGCAGCCCGGCCCCGGCCCGGCUGCCGUGACCGUCGGGGGGAGCUGCCCUGGGCUACACCUCCCUCCCUGCCCUUCCCGGCAAAGGUAACCGCAGCCAUGUUCCCUGUGGGUCUGCAGAGAGAAUGGAGGAGGCCAACAGCGUGGCAUGUGAGAGGAGAGACAAGCCAUGGAAAGUGGUCCUGGUCCUCUCAGAUUUAUGCAGUAGCCAUGUUUGUCAAAGUAUUUGGCACCAAUGACAUCAUCUCUGUUGAAAUGCUGGACAGCGUGAUGAGUCCCAGAUGUUAAUGCACACCAAAAAUUGAGAAAGAAUUAAAUAUAAAGAUCAACUGUAACAGCUAUGGAGGUCUGUACUCAGUUUACAUCUGAUGUUCAUACAUGAAGAAUAUGGGAUUUUUUCAAGGGUUCCUAAAGCUGUUGAGACUUACAGGCACAAAAAUCCAUUGAAGCAACUUGGGAAGUCUACACAUUGCUGCAUUCACAGAAUUCUGCAUGCUGGAAGCAUGGAAAACUCCCUGACACUUGAGAUGUGCAUGGACCCUCAUGGAACAUGAUAUGUGACUAUAAUCUAAUACGUGUAUCAGGGAGCUGAGGGGUACAUUGUCUUUUCAUGUCAAUGUAUCAGCAAAGUCCCCAGAACUAAUUUCUGGAAGCAGUAAGGAAAGCUGACAGAGCAUAGCAAAGCUGGAGACUUUUUCUUGUUGCUCAGCAGACUGUGUUGAGUGGCUGGGCUCAGCAGAGCACCACACACAGGCAGGCAGUAAAAAUUGUUGGCAUCACCAGAAGAUUACUGUUAUCUCUGGAGGACUGCCUGUCAUGUGGAUAGCUUUCAUGCACAAUAUGAUGUGUGGUAUGAAGCAAGUUCUGUGUGUUUUCAGCAAGAGUGCAAACCCAAGAGCUGCAGAGCAUAUCUUUGCAAAAAUGGCUAAGGGGUAAAAAAAAAAUUGCCUCCUGGUGCCCCAAAACCUGGUUCCACUGGAGCUUCUGCAAGUACCCCUUAUCCUCACUUCACUACUGGCUCCACACUGCUUUGAAUCAGGCUUUAUCCAGUGGGUAUUGCAAAGGCUAAGUCUACCUUUGAAUUUUAGCUUGGAUCAGAUGGGUACUUCUAAAGUAGGUCUUGGGAUCAUUUCCAUUGUUUAUGCUUUUGCUUGUGUUAAGGAACUGUCUCAAGUGCAUGAACUGGAAUUUAUUUUGGAUAAAAAAUAAACCAACUACAUCUAAUGCACUCCAGAGAGAGAUAGGUACGUGUUCUGUGGGGUUAAACAAAAGAUCCUCCAAGGUAAAAAGAAAAUUAAAACUAAAAUUUCUUGUAAUGCAGCUUUCUGGUCCUCACUGUCAAUUGUUUUGCUCUAAAAAUCUUUCUCUGGUCUGCACUGUUUGCCAGUGUGGAUGUAGCCUUAAGGCUCAGCUGAGCUUCUUUUCCCAGUGUAGAAAGAUCUUUCUGAUGGUUUCAGAAAUUGUUCAGUCUGUCUGUGGUUCAUGUUCUUAAAGUGUGAAAUAGGGAAGAUAAUACUUAGCCAUCUUUAUCAAACUGUACACAUCUCAGAUGAAUGCCCAAGCAAGUCCAAAGUGUAGUAAUAUUUUACCUACAUCUCCUCCUACAAUUUUCUGUACUAUAUACAUAUAUUUUAAAGUUACUAAUCUGAACUGUAAAAAUACACCCAAGUUGAUGGCAGUGCACAUAACCAAAUCCUCUUAAUAUAAGCUCAUGUUGGUUUCCCAUAUGAUUUUUAAUGCCUGGUUAAUUGUUUAUGGAUCAGUUUCCACUGAAAUGCUGUUUAUGUGUGUAUUUAGAAAGGUGAAGGAGAACAGCAGCCUCUAUUGGGGUAGCAGACAACUGCUAAAUAAAUCUCUACUAGGUAGG